rnacentral:tRNA from 1 species
GCCUUGAUCCACUUGGCUACAUCCGCC